CCGCGGACCGAGACCCUUCCCUGCACACGGGCAGCUUUGCAAGGAUUGCAGUGGAUCGAGGGACGAAUGGAUGACUGAAUAUUCAUAUGAAGAGGAAAGCCAUAAAGGAGAUCAGCACCCUUGCAAACAGAAUGUUAAUGCUGGAUGGGAUGCCGGCAGUCAGAGUCAAAACAGAGCUGCUGGAAUCUGAGCAAGGG